rnacentral:pre_miRNA from 1 species
CGGAUAGAUUAUUGUAUUCGACUAUAUUCAUGGUGUGAAACAGGGGAUUACACUGUUUUAAACGGAAAGUGAAUCAAUUAACAUAAUAAACUCCU